CCUACGGGUGGCUGCAGUGGGGAAUAUUGGACAAUGGGGGGAACCCUGAUCCAGCCAUGCCGCGUGUGUGAAGAAGGCCCUCGGGUUGUAAAGCACUUUCAGUGAGGAAGAACGCCUGGUGGUUAAUACCCAUCAGGAAAGACAUCACUCACAGAAGAAGCACCGGCUAACUCCGUGCCAGCAGCCGCGGUAAUACGGAGGGUGCGAGCGUUAAUCGGAAUUACUGGGCGUAAAGCGCGCGUAGGUGGCUUGAUAAGCCGGUUGUGAAAGCCCCGGGCUCAACCUGGGAACGGCAUCCGGAACUGUUAAGCUAGAGUGCAGGAGAGGAAGGUAGAAUUCCCGGUGUAGCGGUGAAAUGCGUAGAGAUCGGGAGGAAUACCAGUGGCGAAGGCGGCCUUCUGGACUGACACUGACACUGAGGUGCGAAAGCGUGGGUAGCAAACAGGAUUAGAUACCCCAGUAGUC
rnacentral:rRNA from 1 species